UACGGAGGGUGCAAGCGUUGUCCGGAUUUAUUGGGUUUAAAGGGUGCGUAGGCGGCCCGUUAAGUCAGCGGUGAAAUCCCGGGGCUCAACCCCGGAACUGCCGUUGAUACUGGCGGGCUUGAGUUCGGUCGAGGCGGGCGGAACUGGUGGUGUAGCGGUGAAAUGCUUAGAUACCACCAAGAACCCCGAUUGCGUAGACAGCUCGCUUGGCCGAAACUGACGCUGAGGCACGAAAGCGUGGGGAGCGAACAGG
rnacentral:rRNA from 1 species